UUUGACCUCAAAUCAGGUAGGACUACCCGCUGAACUUAAGCAUAUCAAUAAGCGGAGGAAAAGAAACUAACAAGGAUUCCCCUAGUAACUGCGAGUGAAGCGGGAUAAGCUCAAAUUUGAAAUCUGGCAGUCUUUUUUUUCUUCUUUGGCUGUCCGAGUUGUAAUCUAGAGAAGUGCUACCUGCACUGGACCAUGUAUAAGUCUCCUGGAAUGGAGCCUCAUAGAGGGUGAGAAUCCCGUCUUUGACAUGGACUGCCAGUGUGUUGUGGUGUGCUCUCAAAGAGUCGAGUUGUUUGGGAAUGCAGCUCUAAAUGGGUGGUAAACUCCAUCUAAAGCUAAAUAUUGGCGAGAGACCGAUAGCGAACAAGUACCGUGAGGGAAAGAUGAAAAGGACUUUGGAAAGAGAGUUAAACAGUAUGUGAAAUUGUUGAAAGGGAAACGCUUGAAGUCAGUUAUGUUGGCUAGGGAUCAACCUAGCUAUUUUUGCUGGGUGAAUUUCCUAGUUUGACAGGCCAACAUCAGUCUUGACUGCUGGAAAAGAGCAGAGGGAAUGUGGCACCUUUGGGUGUGUUAUAGCCUUUUGUCAUAUGUGGCAGUUGGGACUGAGGGAUGCAGCGUGCCGCGAGGCUGGGUUUCGACCACGUUCACGCUUAGGAUGUUGGCUUUUAAUGGCUUCAAUCGACCCGUCUUGAAACACGGACCAAGGAGUCUAACAUGCCUGCGAGUGUUUGGGUGGAAAACCCUUGUGCACAAUGAAAGUGAAAGUUGAGAUCCCUGUCAUGGGGAGCAUCGACGCCCGGACUGGAGCUUUUAGCAAUGGAUCCGCGGUAGAGCAUGCAUGUUGGGACCCGAAAGAUGGUGAACUAUGCCUGAAUAGGGCAAAGCCAGAGGAAACUCUGGUGGAGGCUCGUAGCGAUUCUGACGUGCAAAUCGAUCGUCAAAUUUGGGUAUAGGGGCGAAAGACUAAUCGAACCAUCUAGUAGCUGGUUCCUGCCGAAGUUUCCCUCAGGAUAGCAGAAGCUCAUUAUCAGAUUUAUGUGGUAAAGCGAAUGAUUAGAGGCCUUGGGGUUGAAACAACCUUAACCUAUUCUCAAACUUUAAAUAUGUAAGAACGAGCUGUCACUUGAUUGGACUGCUCGGC
rnacentral:rRNA from 1 species